UUCCAGCUCCAAUAGCGUAUAUUAAAGUUGUUGCAGUUAAAAAGCUCGUAGUUGAAUUUCGGGGUCAGUAGGCUGGUCGUGCCACAGGUAUGUACUGGUCUCACUGAUUCCUCCUUCCUGAUGAACCGUAAUGCCAUUAAUUUGGUGUUGCGGGGAGGCUGGACUGUUACUUUGAAAAAAUUAGAGUGUUUAAAGCAGGCUAACGCUUGAAUACAUUAGCAUGGAAUAACGAAAUAGGACGUUCGAUCUUAUUUUGUUGGUUUCUAAGAUUGACGUAAUGAUUAAUAGGGAUAGUUGGGGGCAUUAGUAUUCAAUUGUCAGAGGUGAAAUUCUUGGAUUUAUUGAAGACUAACUACUGCGAAAGCAUUUGCCAAGGAUGUUUUCAUUAAUCAAGAACGAAAGUUAGGGGAUCGAAGACGAUCAGAUACCGUCGUAGUCUUAACCAUAAACUAUGCGACUAGGGAUCGG
rnacentral:rRNA from 1 species